GCACAAGCAGCGGAGCGUGUGGUUAAUUCGAUGUUACACGAAGAACCUUACCAGGGUUUGACAUGCAAGUGGUAGGAAGCCGAAAGGUGACCGACCCUUCGGGGAGCUUGCACAGGUGCUGCAUGGCUGUCGUCAGCUCGUGUCGUGAGAUGUUCGGUUAAGUCCGCUAACGAGCGCAACCCUCGCUGUGUGUUAUAUGUGUCACACGGGACUGCCGGUCUUAAGCCGGAGGAAGGUGGGGAUGAUGUCAAGUCAGCAUGGCCUUUAUAUCCUGGACUACACACACGCUACAAUGGCCAACACAAUAGGUUGCUAAGCCGCGAGGUGGCGCCAAUCCAUAAAGUUGGUCUCAGUUCAGAUUGUAGGCUGCAACCCGCCUGCAUGAGGAUGGAGUUGCUAGUAACCGCAGGUCAGCUAUACUGCGGUGAAUACGUUCCCGGGGCUU
rnacentral:rRNA from 1 species